CAGGUCUUGACAUCCACGGAACCCUGGUGAAAGCCGGGGGUGCCCGCAAGGGAGCCGUGAGACAGGUGCUGCAUGGUCGUCGUCAGCUCGUGUCGUGAGAUGUUGGGUUAAGUCCCGCAACGAGCGCAACCCUUGUUGCUAGUUGCCAUCAGUUCGGCUGGGCACUCUAGCGAGACUGCCUACGAAAGUAGGAGGAAGGCGGGGAUGACGUCUGAUCCGCAUGGCCCUUACGACCUGGGCGACACACGUGCUACAAUGCCUGCCACAAAGCGCUGCGACCCGGCAACGGGAAGCCAAUCGCAUAAAAGCAGGCUCAGUUCGGAUUGGGGUCUGCAACUCGACCCCAUGAAGCUGGAAUCGCUAGUAAUCGCGGAUCAGCCAUGCCGCGGUGAAUACGUUCCCGGGCCUUGUACACACCGCCCGUCAAGCCAUGGGAGUGGGUUUUGCCUGAAGUCGCCGGGAGCCACAGGCAGGCGCCUAGGGUAAGGCUCAUGACUGGGGCUAAGUCGUAACAAGGUAACC
rnacentral:rRNA from 1 species